rnacentral:rRNA from 1 species
CCUACGGGGGGCAGCAGUGGGGAAUAUUGGGCAAUGGGCGCAAGCCUAACCCAGCAACGCCGCGUGAAGGAAGAAGGCUUUCGGGUUGUAAACUUCUUUUGUCAGGGAAGAGUAGAAGACGGUACCUGACGAAUAAGCCACGGCUAACUACGUGCCAGCAGCCGCGGUAAUACGUAGGUGGCAAGCGUUGUCCGGAUUUACUGGGUGUAAAGGGCGUGUAGCCGGGUUGACAAGUCAGAUGUGAAAUCCUGCGGCUUAACCGUAGAACUGCAUUUGAAACUGUUGAUCUUGAGUACUGGAGAGGCAGACGGAAUUCCGAGUGUAGCGGUGAAAUGCGUAGAUAUUAGGAGGAACACCAGUGGCGAAGGCGGUCUGCUGGACAGCAACUGACGGUGAGGCGCGAAAGCGUGGGGAGCAAACAGGAUUAGAUACCCCUGUAGUC